rnacentral:rRNA from 1 species
UACGUAGGUGGCAAGCGUUGUCCGGAUUUACUGGGCGUAAAGAGCGCGCAGGCGGUCGUUCAAGUCGCGUGUGAAAGCCCCCGGCUCAACUGGGGAGGGUCACGCGAUACUGAUCGACUCGAAGGCAGGAGAGGGAAGUGGAAUUCCCGGUGUAGUGGUGAAAUGCGUAGAUAUCGGGAGGAACACCAGUGGCGAAGGCGACUUCCUGGACCAAUACUGACGCUCAGGUGCGAAAGCGUGGGGAGCAAACAGG